rnacentral:ncRNA from 16 species
AACGCCCGCGACGCGACAGGUUCCCCGGAGACGGGGAUGAAGAUGGGAACGGGUAAAACCCGGCUGCCCCUGCAACUGUAUGCGGUGAGCCAUCGGCCAUAUGCCAUUGGGAAGCGAUUCCCGAGAAGGCGGCCGACCGGCGCUGAUCCGCAAGCCAGGAGACCUGCCUGUCGUCGUCGUCUUUCG